rnacentral:rRNA from 1 species
GACGAACGCUGGCGGCGUGCUUAACACAUGCAAGUCGAGCGAGAAAGCGGCUUCGGCCGUGAGUACAGCGACGAACGGGUGAGUAACACGUGGGCAACCUGCCCCAGAGAUUGGGAUAACGUCCCGAAAGGGACGCUAAUACCGAAUAACGCGUGACCUGCCAAGUGGGUCACGCCAAAUGGUAGCCUCGGCCUCUGCUCUGGGAUGGGCCCGCGCCGGAUUAGCUUGUUGGUGAGGUAACGGCUCACCAAGGCGACGAUCCGUAGCUGGUCUGAGAGGAUGGUCAGCCACAGUGGAACUGAGACACGGUCCAGACUCCUACGGGAGGCAGCAGUGGGGAAUAUUGGACAAUGGGCGAAAGCCUGAUCCAGCCAUGCCGCGUGUGUGAAGAAGGCCUUCGGGUUGUAAAGCACUUUAAGCGAGGAGGAAUGGCUGAGGGUUAAUAACCUUCAGCAGUGACGUUACUCGCAGAAUAAGCACCGGCUAACUCUGUGCCAGCCGCCGCAGUAA